rnacentral:rRNA from 1 species
AAGAGAGAGACAUGCGCGCAUAUCAAUAAGCGGAGGAAAAGAAACUAACAAGGAUUCCCCUAGUAACGGCGAGUGAAGCGGGAAGAGCUCAAAUUUGAAAUCUUAAAGGGUUUCCCUUUACGAAUUGUAGUUUAAAGAAGUGUUUUCUGUUGAGGUUUUGGUAAAAGUUCUUUGGAAUAGGACAUCAUAGAGGGUGAGAAUCCCGUAUUUGACCUUUACUUUCAACUUUGUGAUACACUUUCAAAGAGUCGGAUUGUUUGGGAAUGCAGUCCAAAAUGGGUGGUAAAUUUCAUCUAAAGCUAAAUAUUGGCGAGAGACCGAUAGCGAACAAGUACCGUGAGGGAAAGAUGAAAAGAACUUUGAAAAGAGAGUUAAACAGCACGUGAAAUUGUCAAAAGGGAAGCGUUUGACACCAGUGUUGUUUUUCUGAAAAUCAAUUAAAGAACUGUUUAUGCUAAGUUGUUUAGACUUUAUCAGCUAACUGUUUAGUUUUGAGCUUUUCUUUAAUGCACUUUUCAGUUAACAAGUCAACAUCAAUUUCUUUUGCUGUAAAAAGCUUGAGGAAGGUGGCUUGAGAUUCGUCUUAAGUGUUUAUAGCCUCUUGCCUAUGCAGUCGGAGAGAUUGAGGUCUGCAGCGUAGAUCCUUCGGGGUUAGAUAGCAUUUGUGCUAAGUUAUAGCCUUUCAUAGACAACUUGUUGACUAUGAUCAGUCAUGUAGCUUACUCGCUUAUGCUAUUUUACCUACGCUUAGGAUGUUGAGCGCAUGUCUCUCUCU